UGGGGAAUAUUGCACAAUGGGCGCAAGCCUGAUGCAGCCAUGCCGCGUGUAUGAAGAAGGCCUUCGGGUUGUAAAGUACUUUCAGCGGGGAGGAAGGGAGUAAAGUUAAUACCUUUGCUCAUUGACGUUACCCGCAGAAGAAGCACCGGCUAACUCCGUGCCAGCAGCCGCGGUAAUACGGAGGGUGCAAGCGUUAAUCGGAAUUACUGGGCGUAAAGCGCACGCAGGCGGUUUGUUAAGUCAGAUGUGAAAUCCCCGGGCUCAACCUGGGAACUGCAUCUGAUACUGGCAAGCUUGCGUCUCGUAGAGGGGGGUAGAAUUCCAGGUGUAGCGGUGCAAUGCGUAGAGAUCUGGAGGAAUACCGGUGGCGAAGGCGGCCCCCUGGACGAAGACUGACGCUCAGGUGCGAAAGCGUGGGGAGCAAACAGG
rnacentral:rRNA from 1 species